rnacentral:lncRNA from 1 species
CCGUACCAGCCCUACACUCCAUGUGGGGAAUAUCUCAACCCACCCAGCCCUACACUCCACAGUUGCAGCAACGCUGCUCAAAUAUCAGUAAGUUGAGGCAAAGCCUCCAGUACGUGGAUGAACCACUUUCCAUACUUCCUCCAUCAAUACCCCAAUCCCAUGCAACAGAUAUUAAUAAAAGCAUAUAAUGUAAAAUAUAGUAUUAAUCAAUCAUGCAGUUUAGCCAAUUUAAACCCUAGGGGUAUAUCAGUAAUUUUGCUCUUUAGGGGUAAUUUUCGUAAC